CGUGUAGGCGGUCCAGCAAGUCGGGUGUGAAACCCCUAGGCUCAACCUGGGAAGUGCAUUCGAUACUGUUGGACUGGAGUCCCGGAGAGGAUGGUGGAACUCUCGGUGUAGAGGUGAAAUUCGUAGAUAUCGGGAAGAACAUCGGUGGCGAAGGCGGCCAUCUGGACGGUGACUGACGCCGAGACGCGAAAGCGUGGGGAGCAGACAGGAUUAGAUACCCUGGUAGUCCACGCUGUAAACGAUGAGUGCUAGGUGUCACGGGUAUUGACCCCUGUGGUGCCGAAGCUAACGCAUUAAGCACUCCGCCUGGGGAGUACGGCCGCAAGGCUAAA
rnacentral:rRNA from 1 species